CUAAAAAUAUUUAUUAUAAUCAGACGUAAACCCAAAUAGUUUUCUACACAGGCGGCGAAUUUGUCAUCAAAUUGAUUAAUAAAAUGCACGGAAUCGGCGGCAUCCAUUACUAUCCGAUUUGGCUCCAUUCAGCAAAUUGAUGAAUGAAAUGAACAGAAUCGGCGCAUCCAUUGUUGUCCGAUUUGGCUCCGUUCAAUUGAUGAAUGAAAUGCACGGAAUCGAAGGCAUCCAUUAUUGUCCGAUUUGGCUCCGUUCAGCUAAUUUAAUUUUCCGGCCGACUGAUUUUGACUGAGGUAAUUUUCACCUAAAACUGAGUCUUAUAUGUUCUGUAAAUUAAGUUAUAGUGCUUUAACUCUGCUCUCGCUGCAUAGUGAUAGCCCUAACUUCAAUCUCUCCGUAUCUGUGCUAUUUGGUUAUCUCAAUAUCCAUGUGUUUUGAUACGAAGUAUGGAUAUUUUAGGUAAGUAUAGAGAAACAUUGAUUGUUGAGCCUUGAGGUGUGAAACUUACGAAAAAGUGAUGGUUUAGGUGUUUUUUUAAUCGCUCUGUAUUGAAAUUUUAGUGCUUCGUGUGAAAUACUUCAAUCUGAAGUCAUUUUCGAAUUGUUCGGAUUGAGGUAUAGUUGAUUCGUUGAUUUUCCUACUAUUCAAAGCAACCUUUUUACCGCCCGGGAUCUAAGCAUUUGAAAUCUAUUAGUUUCCAAAUCCAAAUCAGUCCAUCCACAACUGUUAAGAGUAAAGCUAAAAUCGUUUUUGGAAUAUAACAAACCAAAACCAUUAUGUACUAUUGAAACUGAAUCAUAUGAUUGGGAGAAAACUUCACACUUUUCUCUUUCAAUUUGAAGGAAUCUCAAAAGUUAAGAGACAAAAAAUAAGUGACGUUGCACGUUGAUUAGCUUUGUCAUUGCGAUCUGAUGAGGUACGUUGACUUAUUCAGCUCAUUGCUUUUUUCUAUUUUUGGACAAGUUUAUUUUAUAGCGUGUUUAGUCAUCUCAGUUUGUGUUUUGAAAUCAUGAAACAAAGUAACUUUACUAAUUUAUUCGAUAGUGUCAGUAUUUUGGGACUCUAAAAACCUAAAGACUCGCAUAUGCUCCCUCUGACCACUUUUACUUUUCUACUUUUAACUUCACAUGCCUCUUAAGUAACAAUGGUUGAUAUGCAUAUUUUACGACAAUGCCAAUAUUAAUUGAUGAAUACUCUUAGGUCUUGGGACAUGCUUUGUGAAAUAAGUAACUAAUAUUGACGUUAAAUAUAUUUUUUUUUUGUUGUCUAUUCUUGAUAUAUUAGAAGUAAUAAAGUAAAAGUGAAAAUCUACUUUUUGGAAUAGUAGGCGUUUAAGAAUUAACUAAGGGAGUAGUAAACCUGACAAGGUGACCACAAUAAAAAAGUAUAUUAGUAAGGUUAGUAUUACUAUCAACACAAUACUCUAAUACCAAAUCCAUGUUUUACCAAUAAUUGACUCUUAAUUUAUUCAAGAAAAUCACAAAUUAAUGGAGGGUGAAAUUAUUGUAGUUCCAUGUCAGUAGAAUUUGUAAAAAAAUAUCGACCUAUGAGUAGGCAAGGACACAUUAUAACAAUUGUUUUGAACCCCUUCAUGCUCUUGUCGUGUCGAAAUACUGCACAAAAAGAGGAAUAGUAAAGAAAGGAAACGUAAAAUAUACGACUAAUUUACCGUGCUUUCUGUCUCAUGAAAAUUAGUUGAACCAACAUAAUUAGCUCGAUUAAGCAAAUUACCUUGCAAGUUAAUGGUACAAAAAAUGUCCUCAAACACCAAAAUUGACUUAUUCGUUAUGGCAACCGACAACUCCCUUAAAUUUGAAUUCCUCGUCAAUGCAGUCAACUCCAAAUCAUAUAUGUCGAAGUUCAAAUAAUUCGCCAUUGCUGCAAUCAAACUAGAUUUCUAAGUCCUCGGAGGACCAAACAACAAAUACCCUCUUUUCCAUGCCUUCCCUACUUCCUAUAAUAAUCUUUUCUCAUCAGGAAUCUCUCCAAAUCCUUCAAAAUCAUGUGUUUCUGGUCUCCGAUUCCAUCAUGAUUGUCUAAAAAGUGGCGGGAUGAUCAAAUUCACCGGCUUCCACAUGUCAUGUAAAUUGUAAAUCUCUUCAUAUCCCACAUUAUGAAUCUUGAUCGUCUUGUUUUUGUGUUUUUUGUAAUAUUGCUUCUUUUAUGAUGUAUGGCAAGUAAGAAUUAAGGACAAGGUUCUUGUUUUUCUUGUGAAAUGUCAACCCAUGUCUGUGGGGUUGUAGAAGUGUUUUAGACUGUACUUGUCUACAGUUUCACUUGAAUGAUUGCCCAUUAUAAACAUCUACACCUAUUGGAAUAAAACCUUCAUAUCAGAAAAAAGCAUCAUCUUCAAAAGAUCUAUUAUCUUAAAUUAUUACGAAGGCAAAUUAAAUGUGGAAGCUUACUUGAGCACCCAUGCAUAUAGAACAAUUUUUCAAUUCAAGAUGUGAAUCUUUAGGGAACUAAUAUUCACUUCUCUAAUGGUGGACUACUAGAGAAACUUUCAUUAUGUGUAAUUUGGGGACCAUAACCCUAUUUAUAAUUACACAUAGUUUGCUUGUUUCUAUUUUGUUUGGUUUAUUAUUAAAUUAGAAGUUUUAUCAGCAUAUCUUCACAUAAAAACACAUACUUUAUGAUUUUUCUUACGAAACAUUUAACUUUUUGCAUUAAGUUGACUACCUGACUACUUGUAUUCUAUGUUGCUCAGACCCUAAAAAAUAUGGUUAUACACGUGAGAUUCUCCAAAAGUGCAUGACAUUAGAAGGAUUUGAUAUUUUCAUUUGACAAUCACUACAAAAAAACAGAAAUUUGCUACAAAUUUUAUUGCUUAUUCGUUGCUAAAUAGCUCAUAGCUAACACAAAUUUUGGAUAAUUUGAAGUGACAUAUAUUGUUAUUAAGCUACAAAAUUUUUACACUACUAAUCCACAUAUUCUUAGUACUAAAUAUAUUUUAAGAGUUCAAGCAACAUAACUUUUAGUUUGAUCUAAAACUUUUAUUAUAACAAAUAAUAUAACUUGCAAUUAUCAUGUUAUAUAUAAAUGUGUGUGUGCAAAUAAGUACCUCAUUACGUUUCAUGGUGAUGUUCAAAUUUUUCUCCUUCUCAGUCUUACUGAAUUUAAAUAUAUGGAUUUGAGGGGACAACUUGUUGGCCAAAUAAAUCGAUGCAACUUCAUAAACUUUGUUGUUGAAGAGGCCAUCAAAUUCGUCAAUCACCAUCGUUAGCUGAUUUGAGAACUUGGUGAACAUGUUUUUGAGUCCAAAGAAGAGAUAUGCAUGCAAUUCCCUAGGGAUGUAGUUGUGGAUUAUCGUAGGGACCAACAUGAUUGUUGCAGUAACUAAGCCUACUCUCGAUAAAAUUGUCUUGGCGAGGGUUAAUUUUCGAUUUUGCACAUGAAGAGGACAUGCUUCUUAAGGGCUUUUUGGCUAGUGGGUCUGUAACAACUAAAUUUUUGUUCCUGAAAAUGUAACAAUCAAGACAAGAAAGUACGAUAAGUAUUUAUAUUUUAUUUCAUUAUGUGUGUGGAUUACAAUCUUUAUGAAAUCUUAAAUAGAAAGAUGUAAUCGUUUUAUUCUUAUCAUCAUGACCAGUAUUUUGGAUGGUUAAAGACGAUAAAAAGCGACAAGGAUCUGUCUCGCCACAGGGUGAGGCGAGCAAUGAGGCGCUCACCUUUCGUAAAGUGCGGCACCAUUUAAUAGCAAAAAAGUAAAAUAUUUAAUUGCAUGUGUAAAUAAUUAAAAUCUCAAUAGCAAUAACAUAUUAACAAAUAUUUCAAUUCAAAAACUGAAAAAUAGAUAAUACAUGCUAAAAUAAAACUUGAAUGAGAAAAAAAAACCUUAACAAAAGUCAAAACAAAGGUAAGAAGAAGGAAAAAGAAAUAAGAAGAAGGAAAAAGAAAAGAGGAAGAAGAAAUAUAUAUUGGUUAAACUUUGGAGUUGUCGGAAAAGUCUGGCUAGUUGCCGAAGGAGUCUAGUCGAAAACGCUAAAAUUACGUUUUAACUUUUGAAACCCUAAAUUGGUCGCCUAAGAAAAUACAAAAGGCGACACCUUUCUUGCCUUUUGUCAUCAUGUCGUCGCAUUUUGAUGAUCGUCUCGCCACAAAGCUAAAAGGAUUUGAAGAUCGCCUCGCCUCUCGCCAUCAGUGACGAGGUGAUCGCCUUUCACAACAAUGAUCACGACCAUCAACUCAAGGUUUUAUAGUUGUAGAAGGUAGACUAUUUAAGUGUAAUUAACUCUCGCUUGAUUUUGAUCAGCUCAUUUGAUGAGGUCACAUUUAAUUAGCCAAGACAUGUCAAUUGGAACAUUUGUUUGCUAUUGAUGUGUUUAAUAUGACUUGGAGUGCCACAUCAUUGGAAUACGUGACAUCAUUUUAUUUGUCCUUUAUUUGACUUGAUGUGUCAUGUCAUUUGACACAUGGCAUGUGCCUUGGCCUAAUUGAGCGGGCUCAUUAUUUGAAGACCGACUCAAUGGACUAGCUCACGUGAAAUUGGACUUUGCUUAAAUCCAUAUCUUGGAAUUAAAAAAUCUGAUCUUGAUUUGGGUUUGAUAUUUAUUGAAUUUAUGUGAAUUUAAUCUAGAUUUAUUUCCAUAAAUUCCUAAGUCUACUAAUUCCUCAAGAUUUUGCUGAAGUGUUAUGUGCCUAAAACAAGAGUGAACUUGUAGAAAGCAAGAGUGAGUAGUAGAAACUGACAGCCUUGAUUCAUUGGUUUAGAUUAGUUUUAAUCCAGAAGAGGUCUUGGGUUCAAUACUACUUAACCAAUUUUUUUUAUGAGUAUAUUGUAGUUUUCAAAACUAAGCUUAGUUUGAGGUUUGAACCCCUGACUUCAAACACUAAACCGGACAGUGAACCAACAUGCAAUCAGUUUAUUAAUAUCAAAUAACAUCAUUUUGUUUUACAUAUAGCUUUAUACAUAGUUUUAGUAUAUAUAUUUUGCAAAAUUUUCCAACAAGCAGUGUCGCUUGCCACCCCUUUGCUAAAUGUAAGUCUACCCUGUUGAGCUCCCCUAUUCUUCAUAUUUGCAUAGAAAUAAGCAGAAUUAAAAUCCUCUAAGUGGAGCCACUGGACUCUAAAUUUCAGCGUAUUGAUGCUCUCCUCAAUCACACUCCAUUUUUCUAGUUUAAAUUUUGAUGACUUUUGCUGCUCAAUCAAUAUAGGGUCGUGCCUAUGAUCCCUCAUUUGUUCUUGAUGAUCAGUUAGAUCUUUCCUCCAUUGCCUUUUAUCUGCUUGAAGGAGUUUUAUUAGGAAAUAAGACGAGUUUCAUAGCAAUAAUGGAACAGAAGGUGAAAGAGAAUAAAGUCAAUAAUGUUAUAGAGAAGAUAGUCUCAUAAUGGAAUGGCUAGGAAACUAAGCUCAAAGUACUAGAAAUAAAAUUUGGAUUUUGUGGAAUCUCCAACUGUAGUGGAGUACACUAUGCUUAAUAUAGGAAAGUAUCUUCGGGGUGGUCCACUGGUUUGGGCUUGGGACUUCUAUGUUGAAGGUCUCAUGUUUGAAACCCCUUGCCAGCUAAAGCAAGAGGUUUGCCUCCUGGGUCGAGCUCGUCGCAUCGGUUUGCCUAGUGCGGGUUACCUCUCUUAUGUGGUCGCAAGCUAUUGCAUGGGAGCGAGGGUUUUACCCCGUGCGCACCCAAAGGAUGGAGGCUACGAAUUUCCCUUGUCAUAAAAAAAUAUAGGAAAGUUUUAAAGUCAUAGUCAAUACCAACUAUUACUAUCAUUAGUCAUGGUACAAUAUUUUUUUAUGACAAGGAAAACCCGCAGCUGAUACCCUUUGGGUGCGCACAGGGUAAAAACCCCGCUCCUAUUCAAUAGCUCGUAAACCAGAUAAGAAAGGUAACCAGCACCAGGUAAGACUGGUGCGACGAGCUCGACCCAGAAGGCAAACCCCUUGCUUUCGCUGACAGGGGGUUUCACACUUGAGACCUCCAACAUGGAAGUCCCAAGCCCAAACCACUGGGCCUGCCCGAAGGAUACAAUUUUUCCUAUUUACUUUGGACUAUUUCUCACUUUAUUUGAUUUUCUUUUCUUCACACGAUUUUACUAUACAUUUACCAUUUCCUCAAUUGCAAUUGCGUCAAUAUUUUGGUUACUAUUUUUAUUUACACAUUUGGUACAUAACAAUAACAUCCACUAGCCAAAAAAACCCUUAAACAUAUGUCCUCUUCAUUAGCAGAAUGGAAAAUGGCGUUGACCAAGAUUGUUUUAUCAACAAUAAGCUCUAUUGUUGUGACAAUCAUGUUGGUUCGUUCGAUAAUCCACUGCUACAUCCCCUUUGAACUCCAUGAAUAUCUCUUCUUUGGACUCAAAAAUAUGUUCACUAAGUUCUCAAAUCAGCUAAGAUGGUGAUUGACGAAUUUAAUGGCCUUGUCAACAACGAAAUUUAUGAAGUUGCUGAAAUUUAUUUGCGCAACAAGUUGUCACCUAACAUUCAUCGACUUAAAAUUAGUUAGCCUGAGAAGGAAAAAAAUUUCAACAUUGCCAUGACAUGUAAUGAAGAGGUAAUGUUAUACUGAUAAUUGCAUCUUAUGGUAUUUGUUACCAUAAAAUAUUUAGACUAAACUAAAAAUGAUGUUGCUUGGACUCUUAAAAGAUAUACUAAUAAGAAUACAUGAAUUAGUGGUGGAAAAAUUUUGUAGCUAAACAACAUAUCCACUACACAUCAUAAAAAAAUGUGCUGGAGAUGAGCUAUUUAGCAAAAAAUUUCGUAGCAAAUUUCUGUUUUUUUUGUAAUGAUUGUCGAGUUAUGUUUGACCUUUCUAAAGCAAUGCACUUUUGAAGAAUUUAACACAUGUAUGACCACAAUUUUUAGGGUCCGAGCAAUCUAGAACAGAUGUAGUCAGACGGUCAACUUAGUGCUUAGAGUUAAAUGUUCAUAAGAAGCAUAAUAAAAUAUGUGUUUAUAUGUAUAGAUAUGCAGAUACUACUUCUAAUUUAAAGAUCAAUUAAACAAAUUAGAAACAAACAAACUAUGUGUAAUUAUAAAUAGGGUUACAGACAUAUGACUUUUUUUUCUAAUAGUCCCCAUUUGAAAGUGAAUUAAUUCUUGGGUUGUUUCUUGAAAUUAUGAAUUUAUCUAAUUUAAUUCCAUAAACUCCUAAAUUUACUAAUGCUUCAAGGUUUUGCUGUAGUUUUAUGUGCCUAAUGUGACAAAAUAGUAACCAAUAAAUUGAUUCUUGAAUUAAUUUUUUUUUACGAUCUACAAGAAGGUAAGGGGAAAUAGAGUUCAAUGGCAAUUGAGGAAAAUACAAAAUUUAUUGGAAAAUCAUUUGGAAUAGUUUAUAUUCAGACUAAAUAAACUAGUUGUUUGAUGUCAUGCUUGUAAUGCUUAGAAACUAACAUCACAUACAGAGUCUACGAGAAAAAUUAUAAGAGUGUGAAGAAGCAAUUAUGGUUAUAGAAAGCAUGAAGAAUCUGUAAACAAAAUGCAGGAAAUACUUGUAGAAUUAUUCUCCUAUUCAAAUGUCAAAUGGAAUAAGAAAACAUUUUCUUACUCAUAAACCAAAUACAGUAAUAGCAAUAUGAAAUUUCAGCUAAUUAUUUUUGUUCGUCAAUCAAUAUAAUAGAACUCUUAAGGGGGGCAUACCACUUGAUCGUUUACAUCAGAUUAACGAUUACAAAAUUACUCCUUAUCUUUCUUUCUUCUAAUCAACAGACUCCAUUUGAGUUAUUUCCAUGGCCUCUUCCUUCUCUUUCAUCUUUUUGUGAAGAAAAUUAAUCAACCUUUUUAGUGAAUCUUCAACUUCAUGUUCCUGCAACAACUGCUCUGCCACUUCUGCUGGUGUCACAUUGAGUAUGUCUAUCAAUUCCUCAAUUUCUUUGAAAAAUUUAUGAUCCUUAAUCCCUAAGUAAUUGGUAGCAAGAAGUUUGAAUCCAGAAGGUGUGCAGUAUGUCAUGUGAAUGUGCACAUCCAUUCUGCCAGGUCGCAGCAGUGCAGGGUCAAGCUUUUCUAUGUGAUUUUUUGUGAAAAUUAUGAUUCUUUCGCCUCCACAGCUCGACCAUAGCCCGUCAAUAAAAUUCAGUAAACCUGACAAGGUGAUCUGCAAUAAAAAAUAUAUAUCAGCAUGGUAAAGUAUUACACAAUACACUAUUACCAUAUCCAAAGUAUCCCAAUAAUUGACUCUUAAAUUAUUCAAGAAAAUUACAAAUUAAUGGAGGGUGAAAUUAUUGUAGUUCCAUGUUGGUAGAAUUUAUAAAAAAAUAUCGACUAUUUCGACACAUUAUAACAAUUGUUCUGAACUCCAUCACAUCUUGUCAUGUCGAAAUGCUGAAAUAAAAAGAAGCCAACAUAUCCUAUCUAAUUUAUGGUAAUUAAUCAAUUAACCUAAAAAUACUAAUAGCAAGAGGGAAACCCGUAAUCUUCAACUUGACCAAUUCCCUGACUAUAGAUGUCAAACUACCCCAUAAACUAAAACCAAGUCGGAAUAGUAAAGAUAGGAAAUACAAAAUUAAAAGACUAAAUUUACCAUGCUUUCUGACUGAUAAAAAUCAUUACCAUGCUUUCUGACUGAUAAAAAUCAUUUGAAUGAACAUUCAUAUCAUGAUUAACCAAAUUAGCUUCCAAAUUAAGGGUACAAUCAAUGUCCUCAAUCACCAAAAUUGACUUAUUGGUUGUGGCAACCAACAACUUCCUUAAAUCUAAAUUCCUUGUCACUUUAGUCAACUCCAAAUCAUAUAUAUUGAAAUUCAAAUAAUUCGCUAUUGCAGCUAUCAAACUAGAUUUCCCAGUCCCCGGAGGACCAAACAACAAAUACCCUCUUUUCCAUGCCUUUCCUACUUUCCAGUAAUACUCUUUCCUCGUCAUGAAUUUCUCCAAAUCCUUCAAGAUCAUGUCUUUCUGGUCUGAAUCCAUCACGAUUGUCUCAAAAGUGGUAGGAUGAUAAAAGUUCACCGACUUCCACAUGUUAUGUAAACAGAAUUUCUUUCCGUAACCCACAGUAUGAAUCUUGAUCGUCUUGUUUUUGUGUUUUUGCAAUGUUGCUUCUUCCACGAUGUAUGUCAAGUAAGAAUUAAGGACAAGGUCCUUGUUUUUCUUGUGAAAUGUCAACUCAAAGGACCUUAUUAUAGAUUUCUCAGCAGAAUCCAUGUCUCUGGGGUUGUAGAAGUGUUUAGACUCUGUUUGUUUGCAGAGCCAAAUCCACUUGAAUGUCUGUCCAUUAUAAACAUCUAUAACCUGUUGGAAUAGAAUCACAAGAUUAAAGAAAAAACAUCAUCUUCACAAGAUCUAUUAUCUUAAAUUAUUACGAAGGUAAAUUAAAUGUGGAAACUUACCUGAGCACUUAUGAAUAUAGAACAAUUUUUCAAAUCAUGAUUUUAAGAAAAGUGAUUUUUACUUUUCUAAUGGUGGACUAUUAGAAAAAUGUCAUAGUUUGUUUUUAUUUUUUCUUGUUUAUCAGUGAAUCAGAUGUUGUAUCAAGAUAUGUUUGUCUGAUCUUGAAACCCCAACCCCAACCCCAACCCUAUUUAUAAUUACACUUAGUUUGUUUGUUUCUAAGUUGUCUAAUUUAUCAUUAAAUUAGAAGUUGUAUUAGUAUAUCUAAACAUAAUAAUACAUUUUUUAUGAUGCUAAAAGCUAAAAAAUUUAUUUCUAAAUAGCUCAUAGACACAAUAUUUUUUAUAAUCUGUAGUGUCAAAAUAUUUUUGUUUACCCACAGAAUUAGUCCACUCUAGUCUAUGUAUUCUUAGUAAUUAAUAUAUUUGAAGAGUCAAAAGCAAUACAAUAUGUAUAUGCACGCAAAAUAUUACCUCCUCAUUACGUUCCAUGGUAAUGUUGAAAUUUUUCUCCUUCACAGUCUUACUGAUUUUAAGUCUAUGGAUGUGAGGGGAUAACUUGUUCGCCAAAUAGAUUGUUGCAGCUUCAUAAAUUUUGUUUUUGACUAGGCCAUCAAAUUCGUUAAUCACCAUCGUUAGCUGUUUUGAGGAAUUGGUGAACAUGUUCUUGAGUCCAUAGAAGAGAUACGCAUAGAGUUCCCUGGGAAUGUAGUUGUGGACUAUCGUCUGAACCAACAUGAUUGUUGUAGCAAUUGAGCCCACUCUCGAUAAAACCCUCUUUGCUAGGGCUAGUUUCAACUCUGUUGAUGAAGAGGACAUGCUUCUUAGGGACUUUUUCGCUAGUCCGUGUGUAAGAACUAGUUUUUUUCCCCUGAAAAACGAACAAUCAAUGCAAGAAAAUAGCGACAAGUAUUUAAUAUUUGAUUCCAAUUAUGUGUGGGAUUAUAAUGCUUAUGAAAUUUAUGUAGAAAGGUGUAAUCCUCUAAUUCUUAUCAUCAUGACCAUCAACUGUUGGUCUUUGCUUGUUCUUGAGUUGAUGAUUCAUUUGUUAUCGAAAUUUUAGUAUGAAUAUGGAGCUAGGGUUUGAUCACACAUAUGAAGGUAUAGAAACUUACGACUCACCACCAGAGAUGAAGAACUUGCAGAUCGCCCCUAGAGUGUAUAGUUCUCUCUAGUUCUUCGGAUGAUCUUCAGAUUGAAGAUGCUUUCUCCCCAAUUCCUUGAAUGAUCCCCUUGAGAGGUAUGUAUCACCCCUAUUUAUAGUUGUAGAAGAUAGACAAUUUAAGUGUAGUAGAUGAACUCUCUUGCUUGAUUUUGAUUGACUCAUUUGAUAAGAUCACAUUUAAUUGGCCAAGACAUGUCAGUUGUAACAUGUGUCUGCAUUUGAUUGGUGUUUAUUAUGACUAAGUGUGCGGCGUCAUUUGAAUACGUAAUAUCAUUUUAUUUGACUUGGUGUGUUGUAUCAUUUGACACGUGGAAUGGGCCUUGGGCUAAUUGAGCGGGCUCAUUAUUUGAAGACCAACUCAAUGGACCAGCUCAGGUGAAAUUGAACUUAUCUUUAAAUCCAUAUUUUGGAAUGAAAUUAUUUGAUCUUAAUUUGGGUAUGAUAUAUUUCUAGAUUUAAUUCCAUAACUCGUAUGUCUACUGAUGCUUUAAAAUUUUUCUUUAAUGUUAUGUGCCUAUCAUGUGAUAAAAUAGUAACCAAUACAUUGAUUCUCGAUUUUUUUUUGAUCUACAAGAAUGUAAGGAGUAAUAGGGGGUGGAAAAAAAGAGCGGGUGGAAUACGAAGAUCUAACCACCAAUAUGUAUAACUUACCUUUUUAAGUUUAGGUGAUACCUUUUUAUCACACAAUACUUUAGCGGCAAACCUUCAUUUCAUCCAUGCUGCCCCAAUGUGAUGUAUGACAUAUCCUCGAUGUCUCCACUAUUCUAGAGUACGAACCCAAGAUACUUACAACUCCCUCUUGGAAAUAGUUUGUGUGGCAAGCUUCUUAUUAAUAAACAAUAUGUCGUCUACAAAUAACAUAUAGCAAGGCACCUCCUUUUCAAUAGACCAUGUCAACUCAUCUAUCACCAAAGCAAAUAAGAAAGGGUAAAGAAUUGAUCCUUGAUGUAGCCCCAUCUCAACUAGGAAAUUCUCCAAGUCUCCUUUGAUCGUUCUAACCCGAGCCUUAGAUCUAUCUUUCAUGUUCGCCCUAAUAUAUGCCAUCAGGAUACCUUAGCCACAAAAUACCUCCAGAGAACAUCCCUUGGGACUUUAUCAUAAGCCCUUUGAAGGUCAAUGAACACCAUAUGAAGAUUCCUCUUUUUUUCUGUACUUCUCCAUUAAUCUCUGCACUAGGUGGAUGUUUUAAGUUGUCGAACACCCUAGCAUGCACCAAAAUUGAUCCCUAGAAAUGGACACGCCUAUCCUCACCCUCAUAUCUACCACUCUCCCAAACCUUUAUUGUGUGGCUCAGCAAUUUGAUACUUGCAGUUUUGGAUUUCACCCUUUUUCUUGUACAAUGGAACCAUUGUCCUCCACCUCCAUUCGUUGGGCUUUUUUGUUAUCUUAAAAAUAGCAUUAAAUAAAAAAAAUAAGGAAAUAGUAAAAUAGUAACCAAUAUAUUGAUUCUUAAAUUAUUAUCUUUUUCCGAUCUACAAGAAGGUAAGGGGAAUUAGGGUGCAAUGGCAGUUGAGGAAAAAUAUCAGAUUUAGAUGUUAUACACAAAAGUAUGCAAAAAUAACUUUAAUGAUUUUGUGUAGCAAGAAAAAGGAAUGUGUUGAUCAAUCUUACUAAAAAUAUAGAAAGAAUAUGAAUGUAAUAAAAACAAACAUUAGCAGCCUUUCGUUGUGAAGUUAUGACUAGAAUUGAUGGGUAUCAUUAAAAUACUAUUUUUACCUUUGAAAUAUCUUUACUUGAAACUUACUAUUUGCAUGACAAAUUACUGAUGAAUGUUUUAUUUUAUUCAUAAUAUAUUUCUUACAAAAUAUUAUUACACAAUAUUUGAGAAUGAUUUUUGUAGAGGGGUUAUUUGAGUGUACUAAUAUAAUGAAUGUUGUUAUAGAGAAGUACAAUAUAAUAUGAAAAAACUAUUGGAGAAAAUCAUGUCGUAAUAAUGACGGUCGUUAUAGAGUGUUUUGAUGGUAGUUAGUAUUGACGAUGUAGACUUUGAAACUUUCCUAUAUUGUGCCCUCUAGACUUUGUGAUUCUCAACUAAGGUUGUGUGAUAGAUAUUCUUGGUACUUAAGGGUACUCCAAGAUAUCUAAAUGGCAUGAACCCGUUUGAAAAGCCUAAUCAGUAGUUGUUGGUCAUCUUUUACUAGGGAUGACAAUGGGGCAGUGCGGGGUAGGGGUUGGGCGGGUUGAGCUUAACCCGCAAAAUUUUUAAUCUGCCCCGCCUUGCAUCACAAUUUGUUUCAUUUUCAAUCCACCCCACCCCAUCCCGCCUCCCAUAGACCUGCACCGCAUGAACCCCCCGCAUAAUUUUUUCCUUUUUUUCUUUUUCUAGCUUAGUUUGAUACUAAAAUAAAAUUCGUAAACAUAAAUUCAUUUUUGUAUUAAUUUAAUAGGAUAGUGACUUCCAAGUUUUAUUUUUUUAGAGGUCAUAUUAUAUUUUAUUGAACCAUUUUCAUUCACUAUCUUAAAUAUUUUAGUAGUUUUGAAGAAAUUAUCCUAAUAAAUAAUAUUUUUUCACUCUUAUAACAUAUAAAAAGUUAAAAUUAAGCUAGAACCCACAUAAAAUUACACAUACCCGCCUCAGUCCCGCAUUAGUAUUUAAAACCCCACUUCAAUCCGCCCUGCAUCCCACCUGCUCCGCACAACCUUCAACCCGUCUCGCCCUGCCCUACACUGUAUAGCCUUAAACACACCCCACCCCGCCCCGCAUCGGUUCCGCGACAUUGCCAUUCCUGUCUCUUACUCCAAAAUAAAUGGAGCUUUUCUCCUUAUUUUCCACUAACCCUGCAAAAUAAUAAUAAAUCAUCAGCAAAUCCUAGUUGGACCAGGUUCAACUUUGCACAUCUAGGAUGGUGUUUUAGUUGUGGUUGGAGCUUUAAUCUCUUUAGCAAUCUACUGAAGUAGUCAUAGCUAGAAAAAAAAUGUAAGGAGACACUGGGUAUCCUUGUCUUUUUUUGAUGAAGUAAUUAGUUCUAUUGCAGGCAUCAAGUAGAUGCAUAAUAGUUACAAAAGCUUAGUAGCAAAAGGUUAUCUCUCAUUUACAUUGUUAAUUGAGAAUCAGGGAGUAGACAUGGUUUAGAAGUGAAUCAGGGCAAUCUAGAGGGGAUAAAUAAACCCAAAUAUACAAAAACAUGAGGCAGUUAGCUUCUAAAGAUUGGUAAGUAGUUGAUAUUCCAUCAAAGCAUCUUCUAUUCCUUUCGUUCCAGAUACUCCAAAAAAUGGCUGAAGGUAUCAUCUUCCAUAUUCUCUUGAUGGUGCUAUCAACUUUCCAGCAACCCCAGCUUAUUACAACAUCCCUGAUAUUCUGAGGCAUGACCCAUUUGAAGCCAAAAAGAUCUAAAAACAUACUCCACAAGUUUGCUGCUAUUUGACAUUGUAGAAAUAGGCGGUUGUGUGUUUCUGCUUCCUUCUUGAACAUAUAACAUCUGGUAGCCAUCUGAAACUUCCUUCUGGUCAGGUUGUCUUGGGUCAGGCAAGCUCCAUGGUCCAGCUGAAGCAACUAAUCUUAGGAGGCAAUUUUAUCUUCCAUAUAAGCUUCCAAGGCUAGUGGUCUGUAAUUGCAUUUCGUGGGCCUAGAUGCUUGAGAGCUGCUUUAACUGAGAACUUCCCACCCCUUUUUUUCUCCCCAGUUGAGCUGGUCUGGUAUUUCACUGUUAAAUGCAACACUGUAAAGUGUUGCUAGUAGGCUGACCAACUCCUCCAUUUCCCAGUCCUGUAUGUUCCAAGAAUUCCCUUUUCUGUAUUGCUGAUUAGUAGAGUUAGGCUCCCUUGCUUUCUGGAACAUGUUAGGGUAAGCAACCAUUAAGGAGGAGUUGCCUAUCCAUUUGUCUCUCCAGAAACUGAUAUGUUGUCCAUUCCCUGCAAUUAAGUAUUUGUGUUGAGAGAACUCCUCCCAUAAUUUGCUUAUACUUCUCCAGACACCAACUCCAUAUGGAGCUGUUGAAACAUUAGAACACCAGUGGUUUAGUGCUUCAUGUUUAGCAAUAAUCACAUCCUUCCAAAGGCUAUGCUCCUCUUGAGUGUAUCUCCACAACCACUUCAUAAGUAGGCAUUUGUUUUGCAAUGCUAAGUCUCUAAUGCCCAAACCACCUAACUUUUUUGGUAACAAGACUAUUGGCCAAUUGACCAAAUGGAAUUUAUGGCUUUUGUUAUUCCCUUCCCAUAGAAAAUUCCUUCUGGUUUUGUCCAGUUGCUUCAAAGCCUUACUAGAUAUGGGAUGUAGUGACAUACUAUAUGUGCUAUCAAGUACACUGAUUAUCAAUGUAAGUCUUCCACCCAUAGAGAGGUACUGCAGUUGCCAUUUAGCAAGCCUUUUUUCAAACUUUUCAAUCAUUCCACUCCAGAUGCCAUCCGCCUUUUAUUUAGCCCCAAAUGGAAGGCCUAAGUAAGUGGUUGGGAAAAUUCCAGUUCUACAACCCAAUAUGUCUGCCAGCUCCUCAAUGUUCUGCACCUCAUUAAUAGGAUAGAUCACACUCUUGAGCAUGUUUAUAUGGAGACCUGAAACAGCUUCAAAUAUGAGUAGCGUAAGGUUUAAAUAUAGGACCUGCUCUCUGUCAGCCCCACAAAAGAUCAAUGUAUCAUCUGCGUAAAGCAAAUGUGAGAUGUUAACUGCUCUAUCCCUUCCUAUAUCAAAACCUUUGAGCCAUUGCAGUUGUUUGGCUUUGUUUAACAUUCUACUCAACCCUUCCAUAGCUAGGAUGAAUAGAAAAGGUGAAAGUGGAUCACCUUGCCUUAGGCCUCUCUGUGCAGAGAAAAAGCCUACUAGGCUUCUGUUGAUUAGAACUGAAUACUUAACUAUGGAGAUGUUGAACUUAAUCCAUUUAAUCGACCUAUCACCAAACCCCAUCUGCCGGAGAAUAGAUAUGAGAUAAGACCAAUUCAAAUGGUCAAAGGCUUUCUCAACAUCUAAUUUGCAAAGUAGUCCAGCAUUCCCUUGUUUCAAUUACCAAUCAAGCACCUCAUUUGCUAUGAGUGAGGCAUCAAUGAUUUGUCUCCCUUUGAUGAAGGCAUUUUGUUGGUUUGAGACUAGUUUCCCCAUAACUGUCUUCAAUCUAUUUGCGAGGACUUUUGCAAUGAUCUUGUAUAUGCUUCCAAUCAAGACUAAUAGGUCUGUAAUCCCUAAGUUCGCUUGCCCCCUUUUUCUUAGAAAGAAGUGAUAUGUAUGAAGCAUUACAAGACUUAACUAUCCAGCAAUGUUGAUGGUAGUGUUGCAUAACUGUUAAUAGAUCUGUCUUGAUAAACUCCCAAGAGCUCUGGAAGAAAGCCAUAGUAAAACCAUCAGGUCCGGGGGCUUUGUCAGGGGCACUUGAUUUAAUGGUUGCUAAUACUUCCUCCUCUCUGAAAGCUGCUUCUAAGUUACUGCUUUCCUAUGAUGGAGGCAAUUCCUUCAAACAUGAUUGUAGGCCUUCACUCUUCUAGUUCAGUGUACACUCCUUCAAAGAACUCUAGUGUCUUCUUUUUAAUUGUCUCCUUAUCUUCAAUGACCACAUUGUCUAGUAGAAGUCUGUCUAUGCAAUUGGAUCUUCUACUAGAAUUAGCAAUCUUCUGAAAGUAUUUGGUGUUCCUAUCCCCUUGAGCCAGAGGAACUUGGAUUUUGCCUACAUGAGAUCUCCUCUAUCUUGGCUAACUGUUGUAUCUCAGCUCUCAGGCUUGUCAUUUGACUAGCCUCUAUAGUGCUCAAUUGUUUGCCUUCAGUGUUCCGUUCCAAGAUCAUCAACUCGUCUAGUGCUUUUCCUUUCAUGGUCUCCAGUUUUCCAAAUUUCUCCUUGUUCCAAGUGGUUAUGUCCUUCUUUAGACUCUUCAAUUUUUGCAUAAGGAUGAAAUCAAUCCGCCCAUUUAAAUUUUAGCUCUGCCACCAGAGUUUUAGCUUAUCCAGAAAGCCAUCAACUUCCAGCCACAUGUUCUCAAAUUUAAAGUAGGAAGGAGUGGCAUCCCAAUCCUCACUUUCCAGUAAAAUGGGCCUGUGAUCUGAAAUUACCCUUGGCAAUGCAAUUUGUUUCACAACCUUGAAAGAGUCAUUCCAUUCCGAGGGUAUAAUGAAUCUGUCAAUUCUCAAAGCUUGUUGAUUGUUCUCAUCUCUGGACCAAGUGAAUUGGGCUCCCUGCAAUGGUAGGUCAAUUAUCCCCAGGUCUUGGAUUUUAUGUCUGAGAAUGUUGCCAUGGAUCUUGAUCUCCUUUUGCAAUUUAACCGUUCACUUUCAAAUCUGCAUACAUUGAAGUCACCCCCUAUGACCCACUCAUGUUCCCAAAGUCCUCUUAUCCCUGCUAGUUCAUCCCACAUCUCCUCCCUUUUCGAAUUAGUGUGUGGACCAUAAAUGCCCAUGAAGCACCAUCUGAACUCUUCAAGUGUACUUUGUAGCAUACACGAGAUCGAGUAACAGCCCAGUUGUGUGUCCAUUUUCACCCAUUUCCUUUUAUCCCAGAUUACUAUAAUACCACCUCUUGUGCCGUUUGCUGUAAGUUCCACCCAAUCAGCCCAUCUAUUCCCCCAUAAUUGUUGUUUAGUCUACAAUUGCAGCCUUGGACUUUGGUUUCUUGUAAACAUAAAAUGUCUACUUUCCACUUCUAAAUGAGGGAUUGAUAGUGCUUCUCUUCCCCUCCUCAUUCAGCCCCCUUAUAUUCCAACUAAGGACUUCCAAAUUCAUCUAGACAGUGAGGUGCACUGCCUGCCCCUACUUCCACUACUUUGUUGUUCUUUUUUGUCAUAAUUGAUCCCACAGAUUUAAUUUUUCCUCUCCCUUCUCCUUUGUUUUUUUUUCCGACUCCCAGACUCCUUUUAAUUUAACUCCAGCUUUUGAACUUGUUUUUGUCUUCUUUGCUCCAUUCUUAGAACUAAAUCUAAGAGAUCAUGUUCAAAACCUGUAGCAUUGACCCCGAAGGCUUCGCAUGCCUUAACCAUUGUGAUUUUUGUCCACUUUGAUGUCUCGACUACAGUUGGUUUGUCUAUAACCUGUGGAUUGGGGUUACCUUCAUACCAUGUGAAUGGUAAAGCUUCUCUUAUUGCUAUCGAGGGGAAAUCUGUAUCUGAGUUGAAAUAGGCAACCAGUUCCCUGCUUGAGGUGUGUUGUUGCAAUAGCCUGUGGAUUCUUUCAAGGGUAAUUCUUUCAUCAUCUGCAUCUGACUGCCCCACUCCUGAUAUUUGCUCUACGAAUUAUGUUUGUGAUAGAACACUGAAUCUAUUAGAAGCUGGGUUGGGUUUUUAAACUUGCCAAAUGGUUAUAAGUUUAAAGAGUUUGGCCUCAUUUAAAACUUUAGCUUUUUCUCUCUUGCCAUUUGGGCCUGUUUGGUAAUAAAUCUGAUCAGCUUCUAGGCUCACUUGUAGUUGAUUCAGCACUGGACCACUCCCAUUAACAUUAUUAGAUUCUUUGACUUUUGCCCUUUUGUCCACUGGGCAAUCCAGGUUGUCCCUUUUUGGAGUAAAGUUGUCCUCUUUUGAAUUAAAGUUGCUCCUUUUUAAAUUAAAGUUGUCCCUUUGUGUCUCUUCAUAUGAUACGAGGUUUGAGGUGCCAACUUCUUCCUUUGACUUCCCUUUCUCGAGAAGAGUGGCUUUUCCGGCGAGACGAACAACCGUAUGCAGAUCCUCUAAGACUGUGAGAUCGAAACCCCAAUCUUCUUUGAGCAGCUCUAUGGAUCUUGUGAUUACCUUCAUGUUCUUCUUCGCACAUAUUCGAGCCCAUAGCAUGUGUGUUCUGUGUGUCGUGUCUUCAUCAACUCCAACAUAGCCUCCGCACUUAUCUCUGAUAAAUUGAAAGGUUUCUGAAGACCAUGCGUGUAGUGGAAUUCCAAAAACCUUUAUCCAUUUAUGAUCAGAUUUCUCUGAGGUUAGCUUUGAGCCAGCCACUGAAGACCACCAUUCAAGAGUUAGCUUUCGUCCCUUCCAGAACCACUCACAAGCUUUUACCCUACAUGCCUCCAGUAUUGAUUAUGGUUAAUGGAUGUGACUUUAAGUCCUGCAGUAACUUGCCACCUGCCCACAAACCAUUUUUGGAUGAUCUCUGCAUUUGGACUAGUGUUGAAUGGGUCUCCUUGACUUAACCCUCGUUUUGCUUCAAAAGGUACAGUUGGUUCCUCUUGUCACAAUAGAAUAGGAGACUAAUGUGAGGCACUCCAUAAUCCAGUGCACAAAUUUUGUUGGAAAAUUCAUGCGAUUCAAAACUUGUUCCGCUAAGAUCCAUUCCUCUGAAUAAUUACUUACCACUUGCAAUCAAUGAGUAUUGUACAAUAGGAAAUGGGUCGAAAUUUCUUCACAGAAGAUGGACUCUUCACUUUAGGGAGUAGGGUAACUUGUGUGCAAUUUAUUGGCUUGUAAAUGGUUGAUCAAUUAAUGAACUCUAUUACAGCAACAACAUCUAUGACAUCUCCUCCAAUUACUGGCCAUGAUUUUAUGAAGAAGCAUGAAUUAAAACCGUCUACACCUGGGGCUUUUAAUUCAUCAAUACUCUUUAGAGCAGUAUACAACUCUUCCCGUCUAACGGGCGCUAUCAACUCCAGCUUCCUGUUAUUAAAGGCUAUCAACUCCAGCUGUUGGCUUCUUUUUGGGUAGGAGGUCCUUCAAGAAAAACCUUUGGAUCUACAACAGGCAUUUGGGUGUUGGCAGUAAGCAAGAGUGACUUGUAGAAAACUGACAUCCUUGCUUAACCACAAUUUUUGUAUGAAUAUAUUAUAUAUAUAGUAUUGAUACAUAUAUUUUGUAAAUUUUUCUGACGAAGCGGUGUCGCUUGACACCCCUUCACUGAACAUAAGUCUGCCCUGUUGUACUCCUCAAUCGUGCUCCAUUUUUCUAGUUUCAAUUUGAGUGAGUUUUCCGGCUCAAACAAUAUAGGGUCAUGCCUAUGAUCCCUCAUUUGUUCUUGAUGAACAGCUAGAUCUUUCCUGCAUUGGACUACCUUCUUUAUCUGCUUGAAGGCGUUUAUUUAGGGGAAAUAAGGUGAGUUUGAUAGCAAUAAUGGAACACAAGGUGAAGGAACAAUGUUGUAAAGAAUAUAGCCCCAGGAUGGGAAUGGCAAGUAAACUAAGAUCAAAGUACUAGAAAUAAAAUUUGAAUUUUGUGGAAUCCAACUAUGAUGGUGUACACAAUGCUUAAUAUAUGAAAGUUUCAAAGCCAGAUUCAAUACCAACUAUUGUUUGUCUAGGUACAAUUUUUACUAAUCAUUUUGGACAAUUUCUCACUUUAUUUGUUUUUUUUUUCUUCACAUGAUUUUACUAUAUAUUUUCCAUUUUCCUCAAUUGCAAUCAAUAUUGUCAAUAUAUUGGUUACUAUUUUUGCCUCAAUAUUGUCAAUAUAUUGGUAACUAUUUUUAUUUACACAUUUCGUGCAUAACACUAACAUCCACUAGUUAAAAAGCCCUUAAAAAAUAUGUCCUCUUCAUCAGCAGAAUCAAAAAUGAAACUGGCCAAGAUUGUUUUAUCGGCCAGUAGGUUCUAUUAUUGUGACAACCAUGUUGGUUUGUUUGAUAAUCCACAACUACAUCCCUUUGGAACUCCAUGAAAAUCUCUUCUUUGGACUAAAAAACAUGUUCACUAAGUUCUUGAAUCAGCUAACGAUGACGAUUGACGAAUUUAAUGGCCUUGUCAACAACGAAAUUCAUGAAGCUGCUGAAAUUUAUUUGAGCAACAAGUUGUCACCUAACAUCCAUCGACUUAAAACUAGUAAGCCUGAGAAGGAGAAGAAUAUCAACAUCGUCAUGGAACGUAAUGAGGAGGUAAUGUCUUACGCACACGAUAUAUAAUGAUACAUGUUAUGGUAUUUGUUAUGAUAACAAAUACCAUAAAAAAUUCUGUCAGAGUUUCUUUUGCUUUCUCGUUUUAGUCAAAUUUCAAAUUGUAUAUAAUUUCUCUCUUUCUCGUUUUAUACAUUUCAAUUAUGCCUUUCUUGCGUUCUCGUUUUAUACAAUUCAAAUUGUAUAUAAUUUCUCUCUUUCUCGUUUUAUACAAUUCGCUUCAAUUGUAUAUCUAUAGCGAAUUAUACAUAUAUAAGUUUGUUAUGGAGCGCAAUAAUGCAAACUUUGUAAUGGCAUACAUAUAUGGAUUUUAUGUUUGCUAUAUGUGAAAGUUUCCCUACAAUAAAGUCGGUGUGACUACUGCUUUAUAUCACUUACAUUAAAGUAUAGUGGCACCUUUUUAUCAUACUCUAGAAGCUAGCCUCCAUUUUAACCACCCUGCACCAAUGCGAUGUAUGACUUCCACAUCAAUCUUUCUGUUGUCUUUGAUAAUAGUCCCCGGGUACUUGAAACUCCCUUUCUUAGAGAUGACUUGAGAAUCGAACCUGACUUUAACAUUCGCUAUAUGAGGCACAUCAUUGAACUUGUGUUCCACGUACUCUCGUGGGAGGGGGGUGGUUGGGACCUACCCUUGGCGAAGGGGUGUCAAGUGACUGUGACACUUGCAUGUUCUACUAGCCUUGUUAAUUUUUUUUACUUUAACUAUUGACACCCCUUAAUGAAAAUUAUGGUUCCGCCAUUACGUACUAUGUAUUAUUCUUGCUAUGUUUGAAACCUUUAGACUCUAGGAUCUGUCUCCACACCUUUAGCUUGUCGUUAUCUUUGUUACAUGUCUUGUUAAUCAGUAUAAUGUCAUCAACAAUAAACAUGCGCCAAGGCAUCUCACCUUGAAUGUGUCAUGUCAGAACAUCGAUCCCUAAGUUAAACAAAAAUGUGUUAAGAGUCGAUCUCUGAUGCAAACCCAUCACCACUAGAAAGUGACCUGAGUCACCUCCCCCCAACCUCACCCCGGGUCUAAAAUCCACCAUACAUGUCCUUAAUAACCCUAAUGUACAUGAUUGGAACACCUCUGGUCUCCAAACAUCUCCACAGAACCUCUAUAACAUUGUCGUAUGCUUUUUCAAGGUUAAUUGACACCAUGUCGAGGUUCCUUUCCCUAUACUGCUCCACCUAUUUCCUUACGAUGUGGAUGGCUUCCGUAGUUGAUAAUACCAGCAUAACCGAAUUGGUUCUCAGAAUUAGAAACCCUCUUCACCUGCAUAUAUAUAUAUAUAUAUAUAUAUAUAUAUAUAUAUAUAUAUAUGUAACCUUGUGCAUGCAUAGAUUUUGUCAGUGGUGCAAACUUACCUUGUUGACAAGUCAUGUUGAGUGAGGCACAAUUCUAGAUACAGUCUUCAUUCUGCCUAUCUUUAAACUAUUUACAACUCUUUCCGGAUUGGUGAAGUUGUACAAUAAGUUAAAGUUUGUGAAUUUUUUAAAAAUGGUAACAAAAAUUAAAUACUUCUACGGAAACCAUUUUCUUCCUCAUAUUCUUUUAUUCCAUUUUUUUUUCUCCUUAUGAAGAAAAUUUAGUCAACCCUUUAAGUGAAUCCUCUUCUUCAUCUUCCACUUAGGGAUGACAAUGGGGCGGGCGGUUGCAUGGAGGGGCAGGUUAUUUUUUAAAAUACGAUUUUGAAUGAGAAUAAUCUCAAUACUGAAGAUGGUAUAUGUUUAUCAUUUGCAGAAUCUGCCCUGCCCCAAACUCUAUUAUAAGCAAAAAAUUUACAAUGCAUUCACACAUUGAAUAAUAUAAAGCUCAUGGUAUGCCAUAUUUUUCUGGGCACUGCUGAUGACUCUUCCCACAUUGUCACAACAGUUAAUGAACUAUAUAUAUAUAUAUAUAUAUAUAUUAUUGUUUCAAUAUUAAUAGUAAAUAUUGAUAACUGGUACAUUUAUUUAAUUAAAAAAAUUAUACAUUAUGCGGGGUGGGUUUAUGUGGGGAGGAGCAAGGUGGGGCAAAAACAAAAAAUUAUGCUAUGCGGGGCAGAGCGGGACGGGGUAGUCUUUGAAGGUUCAUAUGGGUUUGCCCUGCAUCCAACCCGCCCCCCUCCAUUGUCAACCCUACUUCCACUUGUGGUAUUUCUACUUUCUCAGGCUUAGCCUCAGCCUCUUCCUUCUCUUUUAUCUUUUUGUGAAUAAAAUUAACCAACCCUCUUAGGGAAUCUUCAGCUUCAUCUUCCUUCAACAGUUGUUCUGCCACUUCUGCUGGUGUCACAUUGGCUGUGUCAAUCAAUUCCUCAAUUUCUUUGAACAAUUUAUGAUCUUUAAUCCCCAAGUAAUUGUUAGCAAGAAGUUUGAAGCCACAAGGUGUGCAAUAUGCCAUGUGAAUGUGCACAUCCAUUCUGCCAGGUCGUAACAAUGCAGGGUCGAGUUUUUCUAUGUGAUUUGUUGUGAAAAUUAUGAUUCUUUCAUCGCCACAGCUUGACCAUAAUCCAUCAAUAAAAUUCAGUAAACCUGACAAGGUCACCUGCAAUAAAAAGUUAUAUGAGUAAGGUAGAGUAUUACAGAAUACACUAAUACCAAAUACAAUUUUUCCCAAGAAUUGACUCUUAACUUAUUCAAGAAAGCCACAAACUAAUGGAGCUUGAAAUUAUUGUAGUUCCAUGUAAGUAGAAUUUGUAAAAAUAUGUUAACUAAUCCAUAGGCUAGGGCACAUAAUAACAAUUGUUCCGAACCCUUUCACGUUCUUGUCAUGUCGAAAUACUGCAUAGAUUAGAGGCCAACAUAUCCUAUCCAAUUUAUGGUAAUUGAUUAGUUAUCCUAAAAACUGUAAUAGCAGGAUCAAAACCUGUUUUCUUUCCCUUGGCCAUGCUCUGACUACAAAGUUGCUACCCGGUAACUAAAAUGCAUUGCCCUAACUUACUAUUGUGUAUACAGACUUUUUCUAUUUCAUCAUUUGGUAUUUGAAACACACUAUCUGAUUAAUCUGAGUUCCAUACCUAGUAGUAAUAGCAAAGAUAGGAAAUGGAAAAUAGAAGACUAAUUUACCUUGCUUUCUUGCUGAUAACCAUUUGAAUGAGCAAACGCAGAUCGAUUAGCUAAAUUAUGUUGCAAGUCAAUGGUACAAUCAAUGUCCUCCACCACCAAAAUGGACUUAUUGGUUGUUGCAACCAACAACUUCUUUAAAUCUGAAUUCCUCCUCAGCACAGUCAACUCCAAAUCAUAUAUAUCGAAGUUCAAAUAAUUCGCCAUUGCAGCAAUCAAACUAGAUUUCCCAGUCCCCGGAGGACCAAACAACAAAUACCCUCUUUUCCAUGCCUUGCCAACUUUCUUAUAAUAAUCUUUCCUCUUCACAAAUCUCUCCAAAUCCUUCAAGAUGGUGUCUUUUUGGUCCUGUUCCAUUGCAAUUGUCCCAAAAGUGGCAGGAUGAUCGAGAUUCACAGGCUUCCACAUAUCAUGUAAAUUGUACAUGUUUUCAUAAUCAACUGUGUGAAUCUUGAUUGUCUUGCUUUCGUGUUUUUGCAGUUUUGCUUCUUUAAUGAUGUAUGGCAAGUAAGAAUUAAUGACAAGGUCCUUGUUUUUCUUGUGAAAUGUCAGCUCAAAGGACCUGAUUUCAGAUUUUAGAGUGGAAUUCAUGUCUCUGUGAUUGUAGAAGUGUUUAGGUUGUGUUUGUCUGCAGAGCCAAAUCCACUUGAAUGUCUGUCCGUUAUAAACAUCUGUCACCUGUUGGAGCAAAACCUUAAGCUUAAAAAUCAUCACCUUCAGAAGAUCUAUUUUCUAAAAUUAUCAAGUUGUUAAAUUAAAUGCGGAAGCUUACCUGAACUCAUGAAUAUGGAUGGAUUAUUAGGACAAAAAGUCAUAUGUUUGAUUUGGAGACCAUAAUCCUACUCAUAAUUAUACAUAGUUCUCCCUGUCCAAUUUACUGGUUCUAUCAUUAAAUUAUAAAUUAUAUAAGCAUACCUUUACAUACACAUAAAAACAUAUACUUUAUGAUGCUUCUUAUGAAUAUUUUAAUGUAAGCGUUAACUAGAUUGUCUAUGUUGCUCUGACCCUCAAAAGAUGUUGUGGCACUCGUGUCAGAUCUACCAAAAAUACAUAGCUUUUGAAGGAUCCGAUACACAUGCGACGAUAUUUUUGAAGAGUUCAAGCAACAUAGGCAUGGCUUCUAGUUUAGACGAAAGCUUUUAUGAUAACAAAAACUAUAACAUGCAAUUAUCAUUAUAUGUGUGCAAGACAUUACCUCCUCAUUACGCUCCAUGGUGAUGUUGAAAUUUUUCUCCUUCGCAGGUUUACUGAUUUUAAGUCGCUUGAUGUUAGGGGACAACUUGUUGCCCAAAUAGAUUGCAACAGCAUCAUAAAUUUCGUUGUUAACGAGGCCAUCAAAUUCGUCAAUCACCAUCGUUAGCUGAUUUGAGAACUUGGUGAACAUAUUUUUGAGUCCAA
rnacentral:lncRNA from 1 species